rnacentral:lncRNA from 1 species
GACUGCCCAGGCCAGGAGGACAAGGCUCGGGGCAGAUCCCAAGCCUCACCUCCGCCCGCACCGCUGAGAGGACGCCAGCGCCGGGUCGGGUGGUGGAUGCGGAACCCGCCCAGGGCCUGACCCCCAUGGCCGCCCCAGCCCCGCCUGGAGCAAGCAGAACCCUGACAUGGAUGUGGACAAGAACAGGACCCUGGACCUGGACAUGAACAAACAGUGGCUGUGAGAGGGCUGCUGCCCCAUCCUGACACCCCUGGAGCCCAUGUCCCCCAGCAGCAGGCAGUAAUGAACAGAUGGUGUUUCCAGCUGAGAGAGGAGGACGGCUGGGACUUGCCCAUGGACUACACCAAAAUGAAGUCCUGGAGGAUAGAUGAGGAUGAGUCCAAAAGGAUUGCUGUAUGUCCUUGUCAUUGCCCCCACCUUUGUCCACACAGCAUGUGAAGUUGGCAUCACUGAGGAAAAUGCACUUGGCACACACCUCAGCAGAAUUGUCUUUUCUCUUUGAAUAUGACCUUUAGCUGAUCAGGGCUUAGAGGACUUAAGUUGACCCAGGAGAUAUUUGGAUUGAUUUGAGUGAAACAAACCAUUGACUUUUUUAAAUGAUGGAUUUCAUUUUCUAACAACUGUGUUUUGUAACAAACUAUUUCUCUAAGAAAGUGUAUAAACAGCAUACCAGUUCAUUUUUUUUCUGGGUGACAGAGCGAUAUAAGGCAGAAUUUUCCUUUCAGAUGGAGAAUGGUAAUGAGAGUCUUAAAUAUUUAAAUGGUUAACUAUACGCUGUUAAUUACCUAGCUUUUUGAGGCUAAGGACAGGGUCUCUUCUCUAAGAAAUCUAAAAUAUUCAGAAGAGUAGACUCUAGCCUAGAAUGUCAACUUAGUACUGCCACCUAAAUCUUUGUUGACUAUAAUAUUACCAAAGCACCUAUGUCAAGAACAUAUUUCUAAAGUAGUUACAAUUUUGCAAUUCAGAUUAUUAAAAGUUAUCCUUUAGGCUAAGAAAGAAGUGAAAAAAAAGUUUUUUGUUAGCCUGAGUCAAUUCUGAAAAUUAUGGUAUCCUCUUUAUUCCCUGGAAAAUGAACAUUCUUUUUGAACACAAUAGGGAGACCCUGAUCAAAGCAAGAGCAUCUUACAGAAACUGGCAGGCAGAGAAAAAGGAAACAUUUGCCAUUUGUAGGAACUGGCAGGGAAGUCACCUAUCUAUAAGGCUGGUGCUGCUAAAGCCUAUUAUCUUUGUUCUUCAAAUUGAUUUAAGUAUUCAGGCAUCUUAAAGAAUAAAAUCUGAAUGGCCAUCUAAAAUCCAUAGUAUUUUAUUCUGUCAUACAGUGUUAAGUUGCUACUACCAAAUAACACACAGUCGUUGAAUCUCUGGAUUUAUUUUUAUGUAUUUAUUUGGUCUUUUUGCCAUUUCUUGGGCGGCUCUCGCGGCAUAUGGAGGUUCCCAGGCUAGGGGUCCAAUCGGAGCUGUAGCCGCGGGCCUACACCAGAGCCACAGCAACGCAAGACCUGAGCCGCGUCUGCAACCUACACCACAGCUCACGGCAACGCCGGAUCGUUAACCCACUGAGCAAGGGCUGGGGCCGAACCCGCAACCUCAUGGUUCCUAGUCGGAUUCGUUAACCACUGCGCCACGACGGGAACUCCUGGAUUUAUUUUAAUUAAAAUUAGUCCCGAAUAAACCGACAGGAGUAUUUCCACCACACAAGUGAAAACUGCACUCAUGAAACACCUUUGCUGAACACCGCCACCUAGAGGAAUUUUUAGGUUACUGCACGUUGCUGCAGGGGCCCCUGCUUAAUCAGAGUAGCUCCUUUUUUGUUUGUUUUUAAGAGUAACUCUAAAUUAAGGCAUUAAUCUCAGUUUGUCUUACUUUGCCUCGGGAUUCAAGGCACAUAGGUAGAAUACUUACCAAAGAUUGGGUGCAGCAUUUAGGCUCUGCCACAAGGUGUCAGAUAAAGUGCCCCAGGUGCUGAUCUGGGGUGAGUGAGAUCAACUGAGAAGCAGUCCAGGAUGCCUGACUGCUCCCUUUUGCAUCCUGCCUGCACAGCUGCAGGAAUUUGAAGAAGGAAUCUGGACCUGCCCUUGGGUCAGUUACCAGAUUUGGGGAACCAAAUGAAAGCAGGUGAUGAGAAAUCUGAGAAAUUGAUGCCCUGUGGGGGAGGGCUACUCUUUGAACAAAGUGAACCUUCAGGACCAGGGUCUCUGGGUGUGGAGGGGAAGGUUGGGAGAAGUGACCCUGUGGGCAGCCCUCCCCCCAGGCAUGGGUGCAGCCCAGGGUCUGUGUGUGGAACCAGCCUGGGUAUGGCCCAGAAGCUGUGUUUUGCCCACAGCCCAAAGACUCGGAUCCCUUCCAGGAAACACUCAAAGAAAGACAGUAUCCAGGGGAGGUGACCAGCCCAAGCCACGGACCCAAGUACCCCCAGUGCAAGGACAAAAUGGACGUAGGAACUUAAGUGCAAUGCGAGGUGAAACUCUCAUACUUUGGAAGUUCCCUUUCACACUUCUUUCUAAACUGGAUCUGUACAUGCCUUGCGGUUUGAACAUGAGACACAUGACACACACAAUAUUCAGGUGUCCAGACCACCGGUAGUAGGGGUGAGAAUUGCCAUGGACGUGUUUGCUCUUACCAAUGCUCUGUGCUAUGGAGAUGCCAUUGCCAUGUAAUCCCAUGCAUUUUGCAGCUUUUCUCCAGGGUGCUUAAACCCCUGUGCAGACAUUGCAGCUAAACUGAAAACAAUGAAACUUUUUAAAAAGUUUUUUUUAAAAAAAAACAUACUCAGUAUUUUGACUGUUUUUAUUUGGUGGCAGAUGUCCAACACCAAGGUGUGAUGGGAGUGGUCCUAUGACUGGUAAUUAGCCUCACAUAGAUGUGCCUUCAUUUUUUCUCAUGGUGGAUUCUGUCUUUCAAUUUAUUGUUUUCAGCUUGCCUCAAAAAUGCUGUCCAAGUACAAACAUUGAAUUAUGCAUCAUCCCUUUAAGUGUGGUAUGUUGACCUUUGAAAGCAUGCUGAUUGAUUAGCAUGUGGUAUAAUGUCUAUUUUGAAAUAAACCACCUAAAUUUGGAAAAUUAUUUAUAAA